AGUAGAAGAUUCCCAACCCUUGGGAUUUUUGACGCAAGCAUAUGUCGAUGGGACACACCACAUUCAUGACUCCAAAUUGCCGAACAAAAGUACUGAGCCAGAUCAGUCUACUUGACUAACAACUCUAGAUUACGGGGUGAGAGACCUAGGCUAAUAAUAAGACAAAGGCCAACACAAAGAUUACCGGACCCCCAGAGGGUUGCCUACAGAUCCCAACCCGAGGGAAGGGAAUCAGGUAUGC
rnacentral:lncRNA from 1 species